UAAUUAUAAAUUUAAAAAUAUUACGUAUUAUGUAAUUUACAAAAUUGUGCUUCCUUUUUUAACUUUUAAAUUUUAUCCCAUUUUAUUGUAAGGCAAUAUUACAAUGCAGUUUCUAAGUUUAAACUUGCGCGCACGUUUAUUCUGAACGCACCGCAGUGACUGUGAAAAAAAAGUUCCAUUCGCCGGUUGGCUGCGUGUACAGUACAUACAUACACUGAUUGUGCUUAGGAUUUUGCUCAUGCAAUCCUAUUAUAAUUCGUUAAGUUAACUAUAUUGCAGAGUGGAAGGUUGAACGAGUCCGUACCAAUUAAGAAAAAGAAUAAAGUGAUUGGAGGGAUAAUUAAAUCAUUUGGAGGUAUGUAGAUACAUGUUUAUUAUUGUAUGUUUGGGUAAAUGUUAAGAUUACUCCCACCAUCUCCGAUUUUUAGGUUCAUUUGACGCGUUUUCGCACGAAAUGAACGAAUCUAGCAGAAAAAAGUGUCGGACUGACCCGCGAAUCGAGAUAUCAAGCGUUAAAGUUGACGACUAUUUAGGUUAGGAUAUCUAACCUAACGUUUGACUACGAAGAUAUUCGAUUUGCCAGUCAGAUAUUCGGAAGAAACGUAUACUUGUAAGUCGCGCUAAUGGCGAUGAAGUUUGUUAUAUCACGUUAAUAAUAAUAAUAAUGUUUGUUAUAUACCGUAAUAACAAUAAUAAAAAAAAUAUAUGUA